CAUGCUGUGUGUGGUACCCUACUUCAGGAAGUGGCAAUCCUGUAUAGUUAAAAAUGAUUGGUACGUCUGUGGGUAGAGUAAUGCAUAACACAUG
ensembl:miRNA